AUCGCUUCUCAGCCUUUUGGCUAAGAUCAAGUGUAGUAUCUUUAUUUGCGUAGUACGUUGUAUCUUGGUUUACUAUAUUCUUACUUUUUGUCACUACAAUGUGCUUCAGAGUAAUGAAGUGAGUUUCCUAAGUGAGCCACCAUUUUUUCAAGGAGCUGGAGCUCU
ensembl:snRNA U2 U2 spliceosomal RNA